UAUUCCUAUAACAGAGUUGAAGAACAUUGGUGAGGCAACAUGAGGAAGUUUGUACUAUCCCUGCCACACUGAACUGUUGUGCAGUUAGAGGAUUUCCAUCUCCAAAGCUGUCAAUCCAACACUGAGAUUCACCUUGUACAAAAGGGAAAUACCAGCACCACACUCCUCCCACCACUUGCUAAUGAGAAGAGGAGGUUCCCUGGUGUGUGUCUGUCUUGGUGUUUAACACUUGGGGUCCUGGAUGCAAAUAUAUCCUGCCUUCAGAGCAAUUUAUCUAUUUUUAUUUCACCAUCAGACUUCCCCCUCCAGUUAUGAGGUCAGAUUUAGAGAAUGAAAGAUCAUCAUGCAUAAGAAAAUGUAAUCUGGGAUCAAAACGUAACGAAAAUAAAGUUGUAAAGGUACGUAAGUCAACCUAGGCAACCAAUGGGUAAAAUUUUGAAAACUGACUUUGCCCUGGUCUACACUAGGACUUUAGGUCGAAUUUAGCAGCAUUAAAUUGAUGUAAACCUGCACCCGUCCACACGAUGAAGCCCUUUAUUUUGACUUAAAGGGCUCUUAAAAUCGAUUUCCUUACUCCACCCGACUAGUGGAUUAGCGCUUAAAUCGGCCUUGCCGGCUCGAAUUUGGGGUACUGUGGACACAAUUCGAUGGUAUUGGCCUCCGGGAGUUAUCCCAGAAUGCUCCAUUGUGACCGCUCUGGACAGCACUCUCAACUCAGGUGCACUGACCAGGUAGACAGGAAAAGAACCGCGAACUUUUGAAUCUCAUUUCCUGUUUGGUCAGCGUGGCAAGCUGCAGGUGACCAUGCAGAGCUCAUCAGCAGAGGGGACCAUGAUGGAGUCCC